GUUCGUAUGGGCAUCGUCGUGUUAAUGGUAUGUAAACUGAAACCGCCAGCGCUGUAAUCAUGGUGGUAAUAAUGGUGAUUAGUGUCACAGUUAUGCUCAGGUCUCUUCUGUACUUGAUAAAUAUGGAUACGCAUCGAGCAAUUGUAUUUCUGUGCCCAUUAUGUCUCGCCUUCAACCUCUAAUUUUCAUCAGAGAUGUUUCUUGCUUAAGGUUUGCACUUCUCUGUUUACCCACCAUCCUCCUUCUCCGUAACUUCAUCGGCGGCAACCAGGCAACAUUAGGUAACCAAUUGACUUAGUGUUCUUUGUUUCAGGUCUUGCCGUGCUUGUUUGUCUAGGACUUUUAUUUAGGGGCUGCUCACACCAACUGUGUGACCUUCAUUUGUGACCAUGGCUGCUGACAGGGAGAAAGAAGAAGGGUCGUGAGCCAUGCGAGGACGACGUUGGGUUUCACAUGGAACAAAUAGGACUGAGCCUGUCUUGCAUGGUCCAAGAUAAGAGGUUUGCUAGAAAAGCCAGGAUACAUACUUGUUUGGUCAGAGACUAGAUGGAAAAUCUAAGGUAUACAUACUGCUGACAUUACUUAGUACCAUGAUACACCAGAAAGGGAUGUUCUGAUCCUCACAUGCAAUUAAAUUCCUUUUAUUCUCAUUGUGAUGCACCUAACUGUACUAGGGUCAAACAACAAGCUUUUCCCCACAAAAUGUGGAAUCCAUGGCUGUAUGGUUAACAAAAUAAUCAACAGACAUUGAUUUAUUAUUUUCAGAAACAAGCAUUAUACUGCUACUCGUGAAGACAAGGUAGCACAGCCAGUUUCCUUUGAUCCUAUCAUUAGUUCUGUAUUUUCUACAUAUGCACUUAAGAUGUAUAUGCAAGGUAUCAAUACUUGUUAUAGUUUAAUUUUCAGAGGACAAAAAAAUGUAAUAAUAUUUUGAUGGCAACAACCAAUUUAUUUAGUUAUGUUUAUACGGAGAACAGAUGUUGGGUCUUCCUGGAACACAUUCAUUUAUGAACCAGUCAAGUCCUUAAUUAACCAUAAGAUUGUUAUCUCCCAGAAAAGGCAUAAUCUUACUUGAAAUUGAAACAUACAAAUCUAUAUUGUAUUCCAAUCAAAGUGCAUGUGAACUGUGCAUAAUAAGUCUUAAUCUCUUGCGUGCUUCUCUGUCUAACGAAUCGUGUACAUCACUGAUGCCCACAUUGAGAAGUUCUAGCUUGUUUGAUACUAGAUUUUGAGCACUUGAAAAUUGUUCAAACUUUGCACCAGAAGUGUUCUAUUCUGUAUUAUUAUCUUAGUGAUGUUCUUUAUUAGUGCAGAAGCAUGAGAAUUCACCGAAGAAUCAAACAAAUUACCAAUGCCCGCACUCCUUCCUCGAGGUAUCUAGAAUUUGUUGUGUUCUGAAUUUAUCCUACUAUCGUAGAUAGAUAUGUUUUUUCUAACCAUAUGGUUGUGUUUCCAGGAUUGGGAACAGGAAAAUUCUAACCAUAUGGUUCUGUUUGAACUGCAACAUUUAAUAUUAUUAUUGAAACACAAUUAAAUAAAUGAAAUAGUAAAACAAGAAAGGGUAUGAGAAGUUUGAUAAGCCAGGGUCAUGUACUUCUCAAUUCAAAUGGUUAGAUUUUCGAAUGGCUUUAGUGGUCAUAUCUUAUAGCAUGUUUUAUUCCCACAAGUUAUUUGGAAGCUCUAGAAAUAUUUAAUUCCCUCCAUCUACUACUGUCAAAUAUGUUGAUACAGGCUCAACAUGUAUAUUUUACAAAGAAGCCCUUUUACUGUGAUCAAGGCAUGUUGCAAGCACUCUGAUGGAUGCGGGUUUAUACAUACAUAUGCACUCUAGAAUGCAUAACAUGAGUUGCAGACAAUGUUGCCAGUAAAGAUGUUGUUUGUCGUCUGAAAUUUUUUGAAUUGGAUCACUUCAUCAAGUCAUAAAUGUUGUUAGAUUGACACCAGCUGGACAUAUACAAUUUAUUUAGCAUUAUUUCUGAAAUUUCAUGAAACAAAAACAGAAAUGAACAGUUGCUCUCGUGACAUGAAUGCGCGCAGAGCUCUUUUCUUAAAAAAGAUGGACACGCGGGGCAACGCGAGCCAGAAACAAUGGUGUUGAUCGAGCUGAAUGAGCACUGCGGUAACCACAGCAGGGUUUCUUUCCUGGAGGGGAGGAAUGCGAAAAAGAAGGAAAUUGUUGAGCAUGUCAUUGAGCUGUCCAAGACGAGCAAUAGAGGAAGCUGAGCAGCUCAACACUAUGGCUGACCUGAUCUAGGACACCUAUCUAUGUUUGAUUGUGUAUUAAGUCAUUAACUAGAGCAGAAUGGUCACUCUUCAUUUUUGUGGAGCUAUGGUUUAUGCAAGUGAACUUGGCAGUAGUUGUUCAUUGUCAUGGAAAUUCAGAAUCUUU